GAGACUCUAUCGUCUUUUCUUUAUUUUGUUUUUUUUUCGUUUAUCGCUUUUUCUUUGUUGUUUUUAGAUAGUUUAUUUCCUUUUAGUUGUUUAUUUUGCUUUUUAGUAUAAUGCAUGAGUCUGACGAGUCACCGAAUAUAGUAAAUCUUUAGUACAAUCCUACCUCCCCAUACCUUUAGCCCCACCAAAAAAUUUUUGCAAAAG
rnacentral:lncRNA from 1 species